AUCUCUUUCUGGAGAUCCCUCCUUUGGAAUUUUGCAGUGAGUCCAGGACACAGACUCAGGAGAGCAGCUCGCAUCUCAAAAGCCAGCCUCCAUCAACUGGGCCAGAAAGAGCUGUUUUACAGGGAAGGCCUGUUACGAGGACUGCGUGACUUGGACAGUUGACUAGAAGAUGUGGAAUCUAAAAUCUGGUAAAGGAAAUGGAGAAGAGAGAAAUUACCAGUAUUCAGGCCUCCCUCCAUAUCCUUUUAACUAUUUUUGUCUCCUCCUUUUCUGAGCUGGAAUUGCUGGGGUUAGGAGAAGAAGGGUAGGGAAUGUGUGAAAUGAGUAAGGAGCAAAGGUUGCUUCCUUUUAUCUCCUCAUGUUUACUUCCCUCCCACCCCUUGCCCCCCCUUUUUUUUAAACAACAAUGUAAGAAGAAGUAAUACUAAAAACUUACAAAUUCAAAUACUAAAAAACCAAAUCCAGCAUAAGAAUUGAUAGGUAACAGAAUUGAUAGGAAUAAAAAUCUUUCUGUGCUGAAUGUUUGUUUACUGAUCGUGUUUACUGGAGUGGAGCACUUUACAAAGCUUCAAAAUAAAAUGCAUACUCUGUUGUGAGGAGAAUAUAACUGAUAAAGGAAGGAUACAAGAUGAGAUAAAAUAAGGAAGCCUAUAAUGCAGAAACAAGCUGUUUCAAAGCCUGAUUCUGGAAUUACUAAUGUUUCCCAUAAUAAAGUAGGAAAGCUAGAAAUGCUUCCAGGCUAAGCCUUAAGAGACUGAUUAUCUCAGCACCUUGUCAUUAUUUCUGGGGCAAAGGAUCUUCAGUAUUUUGCAGCAUUUCACCCCAAUUCACAAAUAUCUAGUGAGAAAUUUCCCUGAGUUCUUUCUGAAUGGAACUGCAGUACUCCAGUCACAAAAAAGCUGCUCCUUGUCUCCAGCCUUGCUGUGUCGCUUGUUAUAAACAUAUAUGACAAAUGAGUGUUUGACUGUACGAGAAAUAUAGCCAUCCCCAGUCAAGCUGUGCAAAUGACAAACUUUGGAAUAAAAUAAACCAACAUGUAGUCCUUGCCACUGUUGAUUUUGCUAUAGUCAAGGGAGUCUUCAAAAUAUAUUUCUAAGUAUAUAUUUCCUAACACCUCAGCUCCAGAGCUUUGUUAUACAAGACUUGGCCACAGAUCACAGCCCACCACCCAAAGAUGCUGGAGGUCUACUCAGUCUACUCUAUGUUGAGCCUUCAUCACCAUUUGAGUUCCUAUAGCGUACACUAUGCAAGCAGUGCUCUCUAGUUAGGGGAGCCUGAGGUAUUCUUUGAUGUGACCUUGAUACAACUGAAAUUAUUCUAUUUGUCUUGAACCCACCAUGCUGGCAGGAUAAAUUUUAAUUCUAGAUGGUACGUCUAGUUUGAAAAUAAAUAGGAGGGACUUCAAUCUGAAAAUAUUCAUCCAUUUCACAAAAUAUGAGGAAAGGAGAAGAAAUGGAUGACUUAGAAACUCUUAGCAGAAGCCCACUUCAUCAUCUAUCAUCUCUCUGCUUGGAGGCAAGGUCUUGAAACAGUGCUACCUGUUUAACUCAGGCAAGUAGCUUUUCUCGUUCUCAGGAAAUCUGCCUAUGUUUAGCAAGCCAAGGCUUGCUAAAACACUUUGGUUCCCUUAUACUGAGCAGGGACUCUCCCAACAACACUUUUUUGUCCAAAAGAGUUUGCUUACUCUGAGCACCUGUGGAUGCCACCCUGGGUGAGAGGAGGGGAGCCAGAUUUCUUCUAUGUCAGCUCCCUGCUCCCUUGCUUUGCUCUGGCUCAUGUAGGGACAACUACGCAGGCCUUCUGGUCUCUUUCCCAAGGAGUCUCUCUGGUGGAUUGGACUGAGCUGUUUCUUUUUGGGAGGUCU